ensembl:lincRNA
GAUACUUCAUUUCUAUUUGGUUACCAUUCCAGGGCACAUAUGGUUCGUCUCUGCAGAAAUAUGAAAUGCUACUAUGAUCACCAUCAGUCUCUUCAUCAUCGGCAUCAUCAAUAAAGAGCAGCAGUGAACUGAACUGAACCAUGAGCUCUGAUCCUCCUGCAUUGAAGCCUAAUGCCGCAGAUCUGAGCACAGCCACUGGAGGAGCGGAGGACUCGUGUUCUUGCUGUACUUUUCCCUUUGCUGUGGUUCUGCUGAUCAUCGGUGUCACAGUCACUGCUGUGGCCUACAGUUUCAACAGCCAUGGCUCCAUCAUCUCCAUUCUGGGGCUCCUGCUGCUCAGCGGUGGGCUCUUGCUUCUGGCAUUCAGUGCAGCCUGCAGAAGAUGCAGAAAGAGGAGAGAAAUGGACAGAUCAUGGGAUAGUCAGACUGACCUGGUGGAGAGCUGGAGGAACAGCUUUGAUUGAAAGGUUUUGCAUUUGACUUUGUGUUUAUAUGAAUUAAUUUGUCAAUUAGUAACAUCAAAUAAAAAUGCGUUUUGAAGG